GAUGAACGCUGGCGGCGUGCCUAAUACAUGCAAGUCGAGCGAACAGAUGAGGAGCUUGCUCCUCUGACGUUAGCGGCGGACGGGUGAGUAACACGUGGAUAACCUACCUAUAAGACUGGGAUAACUUCGGGAAACCGGAGCUAAUACCGGAUAAUAUAUUGAACCGCAUGGUUCAAUAGUAAAAGACGGUUUUGCUGUCACUUAUAGAUGAAUCCGCGCCGCAUUAGCUAGUUGGUAAGGUAACGGCUUACCAAGGCAACGAUGCGUAGCCGACCUGAGAGGGUGAUCGGCCACACUGGAACUGAGACACGGUCCAGACUCCUACGGGAGGCAGCAGUAGGGAAUCUUCCGCAAUGGGCGAAAGCCUGACGGAGCAACGCCGCGUGAGUGAUGAAGGUCUUCGGAUCGUAAAACUCUGUUAUUAGGGAAGAACAAAUGUGUAAGUAACUAUGCACGUCCUGACGGUACCUAAUCAGAAAGCCACGGCUAACUACGUG
rnacentral:rRNA from 1 species